CAGACUGAUGUCAGCAAGUUGGCUUUUACUGGAUUUGGGCAACAGACAGUCUAUGAGCCAUCCUGGUACAUUCCUCCGUCGGUCGUUUGCAGUUUGGCUUGUUCAGUAGGGCAGCAUUUCUGUUUGCGUCACUGUGUAAUUAUGUGGCUUGUUUCAGAUCUGGGAUACAGCCGGCCAGGAAAGAUUCCGAAGCGUGACACACGCCUACUAUAGAGAUGCCCAAGCACUACUUCUGCUUUAUGAUAUCACCAAUAAGCCAUCAUUUGACAAUAUCAGGGUAAGAUUUAUUUUUAUUUUUUUAGGCUAUGCGCUCCCUUUGUAUUGUAAACUUCCUGUUUC